AUACAGAGGGUGCGAGCGUUAAUCGGAAUUACUGGGCGUAAAGCGCGCGUAGGUGGAUAUUUAAGUCGGAUGUGAAAUCCCUGGGCUCAACCUAGGAAUUGCAUUCGAUACUGGAUAUCUUGAGUAUAGUAGAGGGAAGUGGAAUUUCCGGUGUAGCGGUGAAAUGCGUAGAUAUCGGAAGGAACAUCAGUGGCGAAGGCGACUUCCUGGACUAAUACUGACGCUGAGGAGCGAAAGCGUGGGGAGCAAACGGGAUUAGAAACCCCAGUAGUCC
rnacentral:rRNA from 1 species